AUCUAUCUUCGGGGCAGGGUGAAAUUCCCGAUCGGCGGUAUUGAGAUACAUUUCUCUAAGCCCGCGAGCCUUUUUAGGCAGGAUUUGGUGUGAUUCCAAAGCCGACAGUAUAGUCUGGAUGGGAGAAGAUGGAG
rnacentral:ncRNA from 2 species